rnacentral:tRNA from 11 species
UGCCGGGAUUGGGUUCGAAUCACUGACCUUCGUGUUAGUAAGUCCACGCCCUAACCAAUGAGCUAUCCCGAGC